AAGACCGUACUUUUACAGGAUCAUUUCUAUAGUACCUUCUUUUCUACUUGACUUUCCUAGUAGACAACCUCCU
rnacentral:snoRNA from 1 species